rnacentral:lncRNA from 10 species
AUGAGUGACCAAUGUGCUCCCUUCCCUCAGUGUUACCUGUUUCACAUGUACGUGGGUGUCCGGGCUGGCGGAGGCAUUGGGGACGAGAUCGAGGACCCCGCGGGUGACGAAUACGAGCUCUACAGGGUGGUCUUCGACAUCACCUUCUUCUUCUUCGUCAUCGUCAUCCUGUUGGCCAUCAUCCAGGGUCUGAUCAUCGACGCUUUUGGUGAGCUCCGAGACCAACAAGAGCAAGUGAAGGAGGAUAUGGAGACCAAGUGCUUCAUCUGCGGAAUCGGCAGCGACUACUUUGAUACGACACCGCAUGGCUUCGAGACUCACACGCUGGAGGAGCACAACCUGGCCAAUUACAUGUUUUUCCUGAUGUAUUUGAUAAACAAGGAUGAGACAGAACACACAGGUCAGGAGUCUUAUGUCUGGAAGAUGUACCAAGAGAGAUGUUGGGAUUUCUUCCCGGCUGGCGAUUGUUUCCGCAAGCAGUAUGAGGACCAGCUUAGCUGAGACCCCCAGCUGGCUCUCCACCCCCACCUCAAGUGCCUUAUUCUCACAGCAAGUCCCUUAGUCCCCAAGCUCCUCCCCCUAAGGCAGCUGGGGGAGAGGUGACCUAGUACUGGAAAAUAAAUCUGCGCUACGCCCCCCAGCAUCAUUGUGUUGGGCUGUUGAAAUUUUGGAGGAGUGGGCAUCCAGAAAUUGUUUCCCCCAAGAAAAACAAGAUGACAGCAGAGGCUGAAGUCACGUUUAUUGGGAGAAGAGGACAUGCCAUGACCACUAGUGCGUCUGUGGGGGAGGGGGGUGCAAGGACUAGUUCCUAACACCCCCCUAGGGACUCAUUCCUGGAUGUAGAGGUUGCUGGGAGCAGUAGGAUCAUCCACUGGGCGUGUCUCCACCACUACAGGCCUGUGGAAGGAAGAGAGAAGUCAGUUCAUUUAUUCAUUCAUACGUUCAUUGAUUCAUUCAUUCACAAAGUAGUUAACAGAGACUGUGCCAGCCCCAUGCGGAACUAUAGCAGUGAACGGGCAGACAUGGUCCCUGCCCUUGGAAAGCUCUAGAGGAGGAGAUCAACGUGAAUCAGUGAAUUACUUGAAAAAAGCAUGGCAUGCCUGGCAGGGAAACCUAACCCAGGAGGUCAGCCCAGACUCCCCAGAGAAUGGAUGGUGCAGCCUGAAGGAGGAUUAGGAGGGAACUUGGUGAAAGGGCAAGGAAGAGUGUUCUGGCUGGGGAGAACAGCCUGUGCAAAGGAUUUGAGGUGGGAGAAAGGCUGGGACUUGGUUGAAGAUGUCAUGGCCUUGUGGGCUGUGGCUAGGAUUGAGUCUUUAUCUUGAGGCCACGAGAGGAUUUUAACCAGGGAGAGAGUGACACGAUCAGAUCUGGAUUUUAAAAUGACCCUUCUGGCAUGUCAAAAGGACACAGGGGCUCCUUAAGGUGGUUCCCACUGGCUAAAUUUGAGACUCUUUGUGCCUCAACAUAAAUAAUGACAAGGCCGGGCACGGUGGCUCAUGCUUGGUAGUGAUAGACUAUAACCCACAGAAUGAAAAUCCCUGAGACCAUGCUGGUAUAAAGAAAGAAGGGAUGGAGAAGACACAGCUCUUCUUUAGAGUAGAAUGCCAACUAACACACGCAGAAGGAAACAGAAUCAGAAAAUCACCAUUUAUCGUUAGUAACCACCUAACAAUAAUAGAUUCAGAGAAAAAAUCAAUUGAUUCUAAAACUAGUGGGCAGGCCAGGUGCGUUGGCUCACACCUGUAAUCCCAGCACUUUUGGAGGCCGAGCGUGAUGAUCACAUGAGGCCAGGAGUUCAAGACCAGCCUGGCCAACAUGGCGAAACCCCACCACUACUGAAAAUACAAAAAUUAGCCGGGUGUGAUGAUGCACGCCUAUAAUCCCAGCUACUCAGGAGGCUGAGGCAGGAGAAUUGCUUGAACCUGGGAGGAAGAGGUUGCAGAGGCGAGAUCGUGCCACUGCACUCUGAUGUUUGAGAUCCAAGGGGAUCUCAAAACGACAACAAAAAACAAAAAACAAUAAAACUAGUGGGUGAAAAUCUGAUGAGAAACAACAUAUUUACAGACUAUUUACAUAGUCUCAAUGAAUCUCCCCCAAAAGAUACUUCUUAUUACAAAGAAAAACAGAGGCUGGGUGUGGUGGCCCAAGCCUAUAAGCCCAGCACUUUGGGAAGCCUAUGCAGGUGAAUCACUUGAGUCCAGGAUUCCAGACCAGGCUGAGUAAUAUGGCGAAACCCUGUCUCUACAAAAAAAUACAAAAAUAAGCCAGGUGUAGUGUGGUAAGCGCCUGUCAUCCUAGCUGUCCGGGAGGUUGAGGUGGGAGGAUUGAUUGAGCCCAGGAGGUCGAGGCUGCAGUGAGCCAUGAUCGCGUCACUGCACUCCAGCCAGAGU